UCCAGAGGGAGGGGUUCGGGAAUUGGUAAUUUUGACAAAAUGCUUACUCUUACUAUCAAUAAGUUUGGGGAACACCUCUCUGUGUCCAUGGACUAUCUACUCUAGGGGAAAGAGAACUGUCUUUGAAGAUGGGCAGACAUGGAUUUGAGAGGCUGCUUUAUCAUUUACUAAUUAUGUGACCAUGGUUUCAGAGGCUGAGAAGUCUAAGAUCAAGGUGCUAGCCAAUCUGGUUCAUGGCCAGGUUCCUCUUCCUGGUUUGCAGAUGGAUACUUUCUUAUUACGUGGUGAAACAAGAAGUCAUAUCUCUGAUGUCUCUUCUUAUAAGGACCCUCAUCCCAUCAUGAGAGCUCUACCUUCUUGACCUAAUUAUUUUCAUCCUGAAUAUAUUUCAGUGUUUAAAUUUUGGUGGGACACCAACAUUCAGUUCAUAUGAUCACAAGAGAUCCCAGGUAGUAGAGAUGACUUGGGACCAGGAACCCAGCCUCAAAAGAACUUUUGCUGUCCUGAUAAAAAAAAAAAAUGAUUUAAUCCGGAGAUAAAAUUUCUUAGAUAUGAAUGCUUAAA